rnacentral:tRNA from 1 species
AAGUAAGUAGCCUAACAAAAGGCGUAUGCUUUUUAAUCAUAUUAUAGAUCUGUCUCUCUUACUUU